GAGUCUUUAGCUCAGUUGGUUAGAGCACCUCACUUUUAAUGAGGGGGUCGAUGGUUCGAGUCCAUCAAGACUCA
rfam:Parachlamydia-related symbiont TWE25, complete genome